rnacentral:rRNA from 1 species
UGGCGGCUGUAGCGCGGUGGUCCCACCUGACCCCAUGCCGAACUCAGAAGUGAAACGCCGUAGCGCCGAUGGUAGUGUGGGGCCUCCCCAUGCGAGAGUAGGGAACUGCCAGGC